GUAUACGGCCAUACUAGGUUGGAAACACAUCAUCCCGUUCGAUCUGAUAAGUAAAUCGACCUCAGGCCUUCCAAGUACUCUGGUUGGAGACAACAGGGGAACAUAGGGUGCUGUAUACU
rnacentral:rRNA from 13 species